UCUUAUGGAUAAACAAAGAACAUGGUUUCUUGAGAUGGAAUCUAUUCCUGGUGAAGAGGUUGUGAA
rnacentral:pre_miRNA from 1 species